rnacentral:rRNA from 1 species
CUCAGAACGAACGCUGGCGGCAGGCUUAACACAUGCAAGUCGAACGCUGUAGCAAUACAGAGUGGCAGACGGGUGAGUAACGCGUGGGAACGUGCCCUUCGGUUCGGAAUAACUCAGGGAAACUUGAGCUAAUACCGGAUACGUGCGAGAGCAGAAAGAUUUAUCGCCGAAGGAUCGGCCCGCGUCCGAUUAGCUAGUUGGUGAGGUAAUGGCUCACCAAGGCGACGAUCGGUAGCUGGUCUGAGAGGAUGAUCAGCCACACUGGGACUGAGACACGGCCCAGACUCCUACGGGAGGCAGCAGUGGGGAAUAUUGGACAAUGGGCGAAAGCCUGAUCCAGCCAUGCCGCGUGAGUGAUGAAGGCCCUAGGGUUGUAAAGCUCUUUCGCCAGGGACGAUAAUGACGGUACCUGGAUAAGAAGCCCCGGCUAACUUCGUGCCAGCAGCCGCGGUAAUACGAAGGGGGCUAGCGUUGUUCGGAUUUACUGGGCGUAAAGCGCACGUAGGCGGAUCUUUAAGUCGGGGGUGAAAUCCCGGGGCUCAACCUCGGAACUGCCUUUGAUACUGGAGGUCUCGAGUCCGGGAGAGGUGAGUGGAACUGCGAGUGUAGAGGUGAAAUUCGUAGAUAUUCGCAAGAACACCAGUGGCGAAGGCGGCUCACUGGCCCGGUACUGACGCUGAGGUGCGAAAGCGUGGGGAGCAAACGGGAUUAGAUACCCUGGUAGUCCACGCCGUAAACGAUGGAUGCUAGCCGUUGGGGAGCUUGCUCUUCAGUGGCGCAGCUAACGCUUUAAGCAUCCCGCCUGGGGAGUACGGUCGCAAGAUUAAA